UCGCUCCUACCGAUUGGGUGAUCCGGUGAAUUGCUUGGAACAGCCACGGUGUUGAUUCAACUCUGUGGAGGUGAAGAGUUGUAAACCUUAUCACUUAGAGGAAGGAA
rnacentral:rRNA from 1 species